rnacentral:rRNA from 1 species
AGUGAACGCUGGCGGUAGGCCUAACACAUGCAAGUCGAACGGCAGCACAGUAAGAGCUUGCUCUUACGGGUGGCGAGUGGCGGACGGGUGAGGAAUACAUCGGAAUCUACUUUUUCGUGGGGGAUAACGUAGGGAAACUUACGCCAAUACCGCAUACGACCUACGGGUGAAAGCAGGGGAUCUUCGGACCUUGCGCGAUUGAAUGAGCCGAUGUCGGAUUAGCUAGUUGGCGGGGUAAAGGCCCACCAAGGCGACGAUCCGUAGCUGGUCUGAGAGGAUGAUCAGCCACACUGGAACUGAGACACGGUCCAGACUCCUACGGGAGGCAGCAGUGGGGAAUAUUGGACAAUGGGCGCAAGCCUGAUCCAGCCAUACCGCGUGGGUGAAGAGGGCCUUCGGGUUGUAAAGCCCUUUUGUUGGGAAAGAAAAGCAGCAGGUUAAUACCCCGCUGUUCUGACGGUACCCAAAGAAUAAGCACCGGCUAACUUCGUG